UACGUAGGGCGCAAGCGUUGUCCGGAAUUAUUGGGCGUAAAGAGCUCGUAGGCGGCCUGUUGCGUCCGCUGUGAAAUCCCGGGGCUCAACCCCGGGCGUGCAGUGGAUACGGGCUGGCUGGAGGCAGGCAGGGGAGAACGGAAUUCCUGGUGUAGCGGUGAAAUGCGCAGAUAUCAGGAGGAACACCGGUGGCGAAGGCGGUUCUCUGGGCCGAUACUGACGCUGAGGAGCGAAAGCUAGGGGAGCAAACGGG
rnacentral:rRNA from 1 species